UGUUAUUGAGACGUGUAAGGCGGGAGAAGUUCAGACACCCUGCUAAAGCUAAAGAGAGAUAAAAGGCUGUUAAAACUGACAUUACGUCGCCUGUUUGGUGAUUCGUGUUACCAGAGAACUCAUUCCCUCUCGGUUGUGUGCAGCUAGCGAGUUCGACGGUGGAUUAAAGGAGAGUGAAGCGCAAGAGCAAAGGGGAGAAUACAUCCAUCAGUAACUGAAGAACCAAAGCGUUGUGUGUUUCCUGGAGGGAGUGAAACUGUAAUUUGAGUAGUGGGUGAAUGCACACCUAAAUGAAACCAUGGAUGAUAAGAUGAAUGUGUACAGAGUCAUGUGCCAGGGGUGAACUGUGUGAUGGUUGAUUAAAAAGUAUUCAAGGCCAUAGCCCUGGCAGCCCAGGCCAUGCCAUGCCCUGCCCUUGGCAUCAGGGAUUCUCUCAAGGGAAACUGUUGAGGCCAAGUCAACAAGACCAUGUUAAAUAUAGUAUUGAAACAGAGACCUUAUGCGCGCACUCUGAUUCACCUCCAGUCUGAGAUUUGCUUGGUUGAAGGCACUGAUGCAUAUAACUGAUGCCAGUGAGCACAGAGCAACAACAAACUGAGUACUUCACUCAGCCAUUGUUGUUUUCACUUUCUGUGCCAUGUACUGCGGCUUUGUUAUAAACUGAACCACCCCCGCAGUUCACCAGCACACGCAAUCUGGACUAGCUAACGAGUGCUCAGAGGGAAAGGCUUAUCUCAGGUUUGUGUAAAGUUAACUUUGUACGUUUCUGGAUGGCUUCAAGAAUCUAAUGCCAUGGCACAAUUCAUUUACAUUUCUACCCACUUUGGGGUAGAAAUGACUACCAAUUUGACCCCAUUCAAUGUUUAUCAUUAAAAAAAUAGUAGAUAACUUUUUUUCUUUUGCUUAAUAUUUCAUGACUUUUCUUAAUUUGAUGGAGACAACUGAUAAAGCAUAAAAUUGUCAUGAUGAUAUUUUUUCAAUGUGCUGAACACAUAUUGCACGCAUUGGUCGUCCUCAAGGACCAAUUUGACCCCAAGCUGUUUUAGCUGUUAAAACUUGUCUGUCAGUGUGUGUGACCUAACAUGACUACACCUGCAGGUGCAGUUGAUACAUUUGACUUGAUAUAUAUAUAUAUAUAUAUAUAUAUCAAUAUAUUUCAUAUAUAUUCAUAUAAUCAUGAAACGUGGCAGGUGUCAGGUCUGUCUGACCCAAAACGUUUGUAAGACCAGCAUGACCUGUUCAAAAUGCAAAAAAUAUGUCCGCAAGGAGCAUGCGCAUACACUCUGCACAUCCUGUGUACAGUAGUGCAGACUAACAGCUUUACUGUGGGCAUAAAGAACUGUUUCAUGUUUUGACUACUAUCACGUUCACAAUGUUUCGCAAAUGGGUGGAUUUUCAUGUUGUUUUCACUAGUAUCUGACAUGUUCUCAUUAUCCAUUUUCUGUCUCACAAAUGCCCCCCCCCAUACAAACAAAAAAACAAACAAACAAACAAACAAAAAACUCUAUAACUCUGCCACUGCUGGUCUCAAGCCCGGAUAACAAAAGAGGAGGAGUGAGCGAGAUCUUAAAGUAACUAGACACAAAUAUAUUACAAAAAAUAGAAAAUAAAACAUAUGUAAAUAAAAAAGUAAAUAAAUAUGUUUAUGAGAGCAAAGGGGGAGUCACUAACAUUAAUCAACAUGGUCAUUCUGUGAGAGUCAUGAAUGUGCUCUCAACCUGAAAGUUUUUCUGAUGGUGGCGCUACAGUAAAGGUCCUAUCCAUCAUCACCAAAACAAGACUUGUGGUCAUUAAUGUUGAGAAGUAAAUUUGAGAAGAUUUGUAUGAAAAAUUCAAGAUAAAUUAAUUAGUUUAACUAAUUUAAAGGGUUGGCCUGAUGGUGACGCUAGAGGACAGGUCAACUCACUGAUUUUCAAGGGGUUAUUUAUGUAUUCAACAAAUAAACAAAGUGCCUGUCACACAAAUGUGGUCAACAAUCUUCUGUAAAUCAUUUUCUGGAGGUAAAUAUCCCUGGGGUCAGACUGACCCCAAGGACCAAAUUUGUUAUUAUAUUUGAGGACGAUAGGAGGGUUAAAUAAUCAACUGCUGUCAACUCUAAUUUAAUGUAAACACUCUUUUGGCGUUCUGGCCUUAGCUGACUGUGCGAAUUGAUGUGAACAAAACUUGAAUCCUCAUGAUUAAACAUAUCCCUCCAUAA